UACAGAGGUCCCAAGCGUUGUUCGGAUUCACUGGGCGUAAAGGGUGCGUAGGCGGCCGGGUAAGUCUGAUGUGAAAUCUCACAGCUUAACUGUGAAACUGCAUUGGAUACUAUCCGGCUCGAGGAAUGGAGGGGAGACUGGAAUACUUGGUGUAGCAGUGAAAUGCGUAGAUAUCAAGUGGAACACCAGUGGCGAAGGCGGAUCUCUGGGCCAUUACUGACGCUGAGGAGCGAAAGCGUGGGGAGCGAACAGG
rnacentral:rRNA from 1 species